GAUGAACGCUAGCGGGAGGCCUAACACAUGCAAGCCGAGCGGGAUUUGAGACUAGCAUGCUAGUCUUAAUGAGAGCGGCGUACGGGUGCGGAACACGUGUGCAACCUGCCUUUAUUUGGGAGAUAGCCUUUCGAAAGGAAGAUUAAUAUCCCAUAAUCUAAUGAUUGGCAUCAAUUAAUAUUGAAAGGUCCGGCGGAUAGUGAUGGGCACGCGCAAGAUUAGAUAGUUGGUGGGGUAACGGCGCACCAAGUCGAUGAUCUUUAGGGGGCCUGAGAGGGUGAUCCCCCACACUGGUACUGAGACACGGACCAGACUCCUACGGGAGGCAGCAGUGAGGAAUAUUGGACAAUGGGUGAAAGCCUGAUCCAGCCAUCCCGCGUGAAGGAUUAAGGACCUAUGGUUUGUAAACUUCUUUUCUACAGGGAUAAACCUACUCUCGUGAGAGUAGCUGAAGGUACUGUAGGAAUAAGCACCGGCUAACUCCGUGCCAGCAGCCGCAGUAAAAC
rnacentral:rRNA from 1 species